ACUCACCCUGUCCUGUUCACAGGGAGGAGCCUAUCUGAGGACCCGCCCUCCGGGUAUGAAGACGUGGGGGACGGCAAGGGACACUCCCUCUCAGGGGACCUGGUGAUGGAGGACGCCGCAGAGAGCUACGAUGAUGUCAUCACUGCUGUGGAUGCGCACCCAGACAGUGUGGCAGGGGAGCUGGCCGAGGGAGACGCACCAGAGUACUAUGAUGAUGUCAUCACC